rnacentral:rRNA from 1 species
AUUGAACGCUGGCGGCAUGCUUUACACAUGCAAGUCGAACGGCAGCGCGGGCUUCGGCCUGGCGGCGAGUGGCGAACGGGUGAGUAAUACAUCGGAACGUGCCCAGUAGUGGGGGAUAGCUCAGCGAAAGCCGGAUUAAUACCGCAUACGACCUGAGGGUGAAAGCGGGGGAUCUUCGGACCUUGCGCUAUUGGAGCGGCCGAUGGCAGAUUAGCUAGUUGGUGGGGUAAAGGCCUACCAAGGCGACGAUCUGUAGCUGGUCUGAGAGGACGACCAGCCACACUGGGACUGAGACACGGCCCAGACUCCUACGGGAGGCAGCAGUGGGGAAUUUUGGACAAAGGGCGAAAGCCUGAUCCAGCAAUGCCGCGUGUGUGAUGAAGGCCUUCGGGUUGUAAAGCACUUUUGGCGGGAACGAAAAGGACUGUGCCAAUACCACGGUUCGAUGACGGUACCCGCAGAAUAAGCACCGGCUAACUACGUG